rnacentral:rRNA from 1 species
AGGGUGUUAAGAAACAUUGGUCACGCAUCAGACCU